CUUCUUAUGUCAGAUUUUUGUAAAUAUUCAUUAUCUUUACAAACUGCAUCGGAAUUAUCCCAUCUUCUCUGAGAGUUUCUUCCAUGCUCAGCAGACCCAUGUCCCUUUUCUCUGCCACUAUCCCUUCUAUCCGAAUACCUAGAAUUCCUUUCUUGAGCCUCUUCAACAUUAAAAUCGUGAUCUGAGCACUUAGAAGUAGAUGUCUUUCUGUCUCUUUCAUUGGCUCUACUAUGUCCUCUACUCCAGAUUUGUCCCCACUCUCACGUUUAUUCUCUGCUUCUCAAUCUUGAUACCAACUGCUCAUUUUUUCCAAGGCAUUUACUUCUAUUUUUUUCUUCAACUGCUUAAAGAACUCCUUUCUAGCUUCAUAGCCAUCCUGAUUGCAGUCAGCUCUGCUCGAACCAGCCACUCUUUUUCGACUCUCGUGUCUGUCAGUUGCACUUCUUUUUCUAGCACUAUGAUCCAAACCAUCAGCGUCUUCACCGCUUCCAGGUUUCGUUGACUUGUUUGACCGGAGCUUUCUUUUAUCAUCACCAUCCCACUAAUCAUCCUCACCGACGCUAUCAAUGUUCAUCGCUACAUCCUCAUCUACAUCCUGUUUUGGAGAACUUGUGCAAUCAGGUGAACCCAUUGGCAUAAAGAGACCCUCAAACAAUCAAUCUCUUAGCUUUAUAAGCAAAAAAUUCGAUCUUAUCACAAAUAAUCAGCAGACAAGAAACAUCCAGAGAAAUUGCAAAAAAAGAAGUUAGAAUAGGAAAUCAUAUCUAUAUAUUUUACACGCUGAUGGCACAUACAUUAUCAAAGGAUUUGACGUCUGAGAAACAGUGAGACCUUGCAAUAGUUUUAAACAGAUACCAAAAACAUAUAAGCACAUAAAAUUCGAAAAUUGAGUUCAUGCCACUGUCUUUUAUGGAGCAGAAACCACAAAUAGUCAGUGUAGAAGAGAAAACAAAAAAAUGUAAUCCCACAGCAAUUAGAGAGAAGAAAAAUAAAACAAAAACCUUUAUCUUGUUCCUUCUUUUCUCUAUUUGUUGACGUCAAGCUCUAAGUGAUUUUUUCAGAUUCUGAAAUGAACCAAUUUAUAAUACAUCUCAGUAAAGAAAAUAUGUUAACCCUAGAUAUUUAAGGCCAACAGGAAAUAAAUAGUAUCAUCUCUGUCAUGACUCUGAAACCAAUUUCAUCCUUGCGCAAGUAAUAAUUAGCCCAAAUUUAAAAUUUAAAGACCAAAUUAAAACAGGGUAAUAAUGAACUUAAAAAUUGAGUAUUGAAAUUAAAAUAUAAAUAUCAGAUUCGCAUGCCAAGAGCGGACGAGGGCCAAAAAUUAAGGCAAAAUUAGACUAACAAUAAAUGGCAACUACAACGUACACAAAUUAAGCAAUGCCUAUUUCCAACUCAUUCACAUUAAUUCAAUUAGCUUGAAGUAAAAAGUGAAAACAAAACAUACAAAUUAUGCUCCAGUUUUUUAUAGAGAGAGAAGAUUACUCC
rnacentral:lncRNA from 1 species